GUAUGCGCCCCGCCCCACCUCGCGCUGGGUUGGUCUUAAGUACUGUCGCUCGGAACUAGCCCCGUGGAUUCCGCUCAUCCUCAUUGGGCGAGGAGCCUAGGCCCCCUGAAGAAGCCUCUCCCCAUUGGCCGCUCCGAAGUCCACAUGCCCCGUCUGCGCCUCUCAAGAGCGAUUGGCCGCCGCUACUGUCGCUCUUCGAAAGAAGCCAGCCUGAUUCCCCCUUCUCGGGCCGCAGGGUAACUCUCCCAGGUGUGACUCCGCCCCCUCCGCCCUAUUGGCUGCCCGAGGCUGCAGGCUGCAGUUCACUUAGGCAAAUUUAAAGAACUCUGAGCUUCGGUGCGGUGGGUGCUUGGAGGAGAACCGCGCCGACUGCGAGGGAACAUAGAACUCUGGAUCUGGCCGCGCUGUUUUCUCGGAGACCGAGCCCCACGUCAGCGUGGCCGCACAGAUGUCGCAGCGUGGGCCGACGCUCCAGGCAUGACGUCAUCUGCUGACCACUGCCCACCGCCUCUGACGUGUGGCCGGGCGUCACCUGCGGCUCCUCCCUCUGUGGGGAGCUCGGACUGGUACAGGAUUUGGGACAUGGACGGGCCUGGGGCCCGGGGCUGGGCCUGGCUUGCGGACCGGAAGUGGGGCAGAGGUGACUCCGGGAGAGCCGGCGGGGCUGGGCAGCCGGGCCCGACCGCAGGUGUCAGGUAUUUCAGUAAGACAGUGGUGCACCCCUGUAAACUCAGCACUGGGAAUGCAAAGGCAGGAGGAUCGAAGGUUGGAGGGAAAGGCAGCGGCCGAGACCACCAUUACAUAAGUGCAAAGUCUGGCCUCCAGCCCUCAGGCCCUGCUCCCCACUCCACUCUCCCAGGGACACUCACUCUUCAGAAACGAAAUUCCAUGAGCCAUGAGUAUACACCUAUAGUCCCAGCACUCAGGAGGCUGAGGCAGGAGGAUCACUUAAGCCCAGGAGUUCGAAACCAGCCUGGGACACAUAAUAAGACUGUCUAAAAGAAAAAAAAAAAAAAAAA
rnacentral:lncRNA from 1 species